rnacentral:lncRNA from 1 species
AACAGCUAUGCGUUUCCUCUCUCUCUUUCAAUACAGGCUGGUUUGCAGGCCUCUCUUCCUUGUUUCUCUCUGUUCCGGCUCCAAAGCUGCUGCUUCUGGCAGGGGUGGACCGACUAGACAAGGACCUCACCAUUGGUCAGAUGCAAGGCAAAUUUCAAAUGCAAGUACUUCCUCAGUGUGGGCACGCUGUCCAUGAAGAUGUUCCAGGAAA